rnacentral:rRNA from 1 species
AGCGAACGCUGGCGGCAGGCUUAACACAUGCAAGUCGAACGGGCGUAGCAAUACGUCAGUGGCAGACGGGUGAGUAACGCGUGGGAACGUACCUUUUGGUUCGGAACAACCCAGGGAAACUUGGGCUAAUACCGGAUAAGCCCUUACGGGGAAAGAUUUAUCGCCGAAAGAUCGGCCCGCGUCUGAUUAGCUAGUUGGUGUGGUAACGGCGCACCAAGGCGACGAUCAGUAGCUGGUCUGAGAGGAUGAUCAGCCACAUUGGGACUGAGACACGGCCCAAACUCCUACGGGAGGCAGCAGUGGGGAAUAUUGGACAAUGGGCGCAAGCCUGAUCCAGCCAUGCCGCGUGAGUGAUGAAGGCCCUAGGGUUGUAAAGCUCUUUUGUGCGGGAAGAUAAUGACGGUACCGCAAGAAUAAGCCCCGGCUAACUUCGUGCCAGCCGCCGCA